rnacentral:rRNA from 1 species
GACGAACGCUGGCGGCGUGCCUAACACAUGCAAGUCGAACGAGAAUCUUUGAACAGAACUUUUCGGAGUGACGUUCAAAGAGGAAAGUGGCGGACGGGCGAGUAACGCGUGAGUAACCUGCCCAUAAGAGGGGGAUAAUCCAUGGAAACGUGGACUAAUACCGCAUAUUGUAGUUAAGUUGCAUGACUUGAUUAUGAAAGAUUUAUCGCUUAUGGAUGGACUCGCGUCAGAUUAGAUAGUUGGUGAGGUAACGGCUCACCAAGUCAACGAUCUGUAGCCGAACUGAGAGGUUGAUCGGCCGCAUUGGGACUGAGACACGGCCCAGACUCCUACGGGAGGCAGCAGUGGGGAAUAUUGCGCAAUGGGGGCAACCCUGACGCAGCAACGCCGCGUGCAGGAAGAAGGUCUUCGGAUUGUAAACUGUUGUCGCAAGGGAAGAAGACAGUGACGGUACCU